UACGUAGGUGACGAGCGUUAUCCGGAAUACUGGGCGUAAAGCGCACGCAAGCGGCUGGACAAGUCUGGCGUGAAAUCCUCUGGCUUAACCAGGGGCGGUCGCUGGAGACUGUUCAGCUUGAGGCGAUGAGAGGGGUGCAGAAUUCCCGGUGUAGUGGUGGAAUGCGUAGAUAUCGGGAGGAAUACCAGUGGCGAAAGCGGCACCCUGGC
rnacentral:rRNA from 1 species